CGGAGCUGCCCGGGUGGCGGCGUCCGCGGUGCACUUCCGUGGCUAGAAGCUGUGGGACUUCGUUCCUCGCACUUUGUUUCUUUCGCCAUUCACGAGCCUGACACAGACCUGCCUUGUUGGGGCCACGAGGGUCCUUCCGACCACCCCUGAGGUUCAGAGAGGUGAAGUGCUUUACCAGGAGUCACCCAGCGGAGCUGGCAUGCAGACUCAUCUCCCAGAUAUCCGAGCGGGUCUGCUGGAUGAACCCUCUGCAAAAGGCCCUUUCCUGCACGUCUCUUGCCAUGAGCGGCUCUCCCUGGGCUUGGUGACCCAAGGGUUACGGAGCUAGCUCACACAUGCCGGCGUGUACAUCACCCCCGCCAUCUGGGCUAAUGACAAAUCAUGUAUGCAGCAAAGGAAGGCGGACACACUGCCAGAGGUGUGAUAAGAAAGCAGCUUGCAAGAUAUCGCUGUCAGGAUAUACCCAGCUUAUGUAAAUGCACAGAAAGAAGUCUGCAAAGACGUCUUCAAACUGAAGUAGCAGAUUCUUCUGCGGGGAAGAAAGAGGAAGGCAUGUAGAGAGAAGAAUGCCCCAUGAAGACAGAGGCAGAGAUCGGAGUGAUGUGUCUACAAGCCGGGGAAUGACCAAGACUGCUGGGACCCCAGAAGCCAGGAGAGAGUCAGGGAGCAUUCUCUCCCCCAGAACCUCCUGCAGAACCCAGCCCCGUGGAUGUAAGUGGCAUGAGAGCAGGACCUUACCUCUCCUGGUCAUCCUUAUGGUGCUGUGCACCUGCGUUUGCAGAAUGAACGAGAGACUGGAGACCCCAGGAGCAUGGCAGGAGGUGCUGUUGCCCAGGAUAUCACUGGGAACACCCCAUUUCAGAGGCUGGCCACUGACACCCCAGCCACUCCCUGUGUGUGGUCAACAGAAGAGGUCUUAGCAAUCCGCUUAGACCUGGAGCAAAAUGUUCUCUUUUGAGAUGAGCUUAUGAAGUUGCCCUGUUCUUUCCUGCAUCUGGAGAGUAAUGAGUAUUUCCAAUUGUCACGAGUCUGCUCUGUUUUUCUUCUUCCCACCAGGUUAUCCAGGCCCCAGGAUACUGGUGGAGAGCAUGGGGCAGCAGCAUGUCUUCCCAGCCAUGCUUCCUGCCUCCUCCAGUUAUGGUCCUGUCCAACCAAAGACAUCCCAUCCCCACUAAUUGUGGGGUCCUGGGGUAAUCACUCAGGGUCCCGGUAGUGGGGUCCAUCACCCGUGAGUCCCGAGAGCAGCAGGAGCAUGUUGGGGGCAGGGAGGGGGGCUAACACACCAUCUCUCUCGGGAAGGACCACCCGUUUCUCAAUAGCCUUGGUCUCUCAUCUGAUUUCUGUUUCAUUUUAUUUAAAAUACACUUGUUUCCUUCAAGCUGGGCAUGGGUUGGUCUUCUUGAGCUGAGUAAGGGAUAGUGACUCUGUAAUACAAAGCCACAUCCCAGUCAUUAAUCCCAGAGGAAUGGCAGGCUGCCAGGCAUCUUGCAUAGUGUGUCACCGUUGGUCAUCAUCAUGAUCCUGGGACAGAAGUCUCACCUUUCCCAUUUUGUAGAUGAGGUCAGAGAGGUAAGUCAGGUCCCAGGCCCAAUCCUCUUCCCUCUUCUCCUUUGUUUCUUAAAACAUUAAAAAAAAUUAAUAAAAUUUGUUUUUUAGAGCAGUUUUAGGUUCAUAGCAAAACUGAGGGGGAUUUGCAGAAUUUCUCAGACACCCUUCUGCACCCACACACAUGCAUGGCCUCCCCCCUGGCAAUGAGUGGCUCAUUUGUGACAGCUGAGGACCACACAUUGACAUGUCCUCAUCACCCUGAGUCCAUACUCUACCUUGCUGUUCAUUCUGGGUGGUGGUGACAUGUGUCCCUUAUUGUAGAGCCACACAGAGUGUGUUCACGACCCUGAAAUCCCCAGUGCUCUGCCUCUCCAUCCCUUUCUCCCCUCUAACACCUGAUGACCCCUGAUUUCUUAACCGUCUCCUUAGUUUCGCCUUUUCCAGAAUGUCCUAUGGUUGGUCACCUCUUCAGAUUGGCUUCUUUUACUUAGUGAUGCGCAUUUAAGUUUCUUCCGUGUCUUGUCUUGGUUUGAUAGCUCAUCUCUGUUUAGUGAUGGCUCAUAGCCCACUGUGUUGGAUGUACCAGAGCCUAGCUAUCCAUUUGUCUACCGAGGAACGUCGUAGUUGCUUCCACGUGGGGAUGAUUAUGAACGA